rnacentral:rRNA from 1 species
GACGAACGCUGGCGGCGUGCCUAAUACAUGCAAGUAGAACGCUGAAGACUUUAGCUUGCUAAAGUUGGAAGAGUUGCGAACGGGUGAGUAACGCGUAGGUAACCUGCCUACUAGCGGGGGAUAACUAUUGGAAACGAUAGCUAAUACCGCAUAACAACAUUUAACCCAUGUUAGAUGCUUGAAAGGAGCAAUUGCUUCACUAGUAGAUGGACCUGCGUUGUAUUAGCUAGUUGGUGAGGUAACGGCUCACCAAGGCGACGAUACAUAGCCGACCUGAGAGGGUGAUCGGCCACAUUGGAACUGAGAAACGGUCCAG